rnacentral:rRNA from 1 species
CCUACGUGCGCUUUACGCCCAGUAAUUCCGAAUAACGCUAGCUCCCUCCGUAUUACCGCGGCUGCUGGCACGGAGUUAGCCGGAGCUUAUUCUCCCGGUACUGUCAUUAUCAUCCCGGGUAAAAGAGCUUUACAACCCUAAGGCCUUCAUCACUCACGCGGCAUUGCUGGAUCAGGCUUUCGCCCGUUGUCCAAUAUUCCCCACUGCUGCCUCCCGUAGGAGUCUGGGCCGUGUCUCAGUCCCAGUGUGGCUGAUCAUCCUCUCAGACCAGCUAAGGAUCGUCGCCUUGGUGCGCCUUUACCACACCAACUAGCUAAUCCUACGCGGGCUCAU